rnacentral:misc_RNA from 1 species
GGUUUUGAGGUUGUCCCAUGCAGUGUUAAGUAUGAUCCUGCAGUGAUGUCGAAGCUUCAUGUCUAUGACAAUAUUUCAUCAGUCAACUGCCCCUUGGACCUUGACAAGUCUCAGAUCAUAAGGGAGCACGAGAGGGUUUCUUUCACUUAUGAGGUUGAAUUUGUGAAAAGUGAUAUUAGAGAACCAGUGGACACGGGCACCUUCC